rnacentral:RNase_P_RNA from 22 species
CUGGCACGGUAAGCGGUCGCUUUUGCAUCUUGCAAAAGAGGAAAGUCCGAGCUGCGAUAAGACAAAGUUCCAUCUAACGGAUGGCUAGGGAAACCUAAGGGAUAGUGUAACAGAAAGCAAACUUCCGCCUUGGCGGUAAAGGUGAAAUGGCGGGGUAAGAGCCCACCGGCACGCUUGGUAACUUGCGUGGCCAUAUAAACCCAACUUGCAGUAAGAAGGGAUGGUUUUGGUCUUAUAUUAAAACCCUUCGCUAGAGCUUGUUUGUAAAAGCAAGCGUAGAUAAAUGAUCGCUCAAGACAGAACUCGGCUUAACGCCGUGCCUCCCUU